GCUUAGUUGGUAGAGUACAAAGCUCUUAACCUUGUGGACGUGGGUUUGAGCCCCAU
rfam:Triticum urartu cultivar G1812 contig819222, whole genome shotgun sequence.